rnacentral:rRNA from 1 species
GACGAACGCUGGCGGCGUGCUUAACACAUGCAAGUCGAACGGAAAGGCCCUGCUUUUGUGGGGUGCUCGAGUGGCGAACGGGUGAGUAACACGUGAGUAACCUGCCCUUGACUUUGGGAUAACUUCAGGAAACUGGGGCUAAUACCGGAUAGGAGCUCCUGCUGCAUGGUGGGGGUUGGAAAGUUUCGGCGGUUGGGGAUGGACUCGCGGCCUAUCAGCUUGUUGGUGGGGUAGUGGCUUACCAAGGCUUUGACGGGUAGCCGGCCUGAGAGGGUGACCGGCCACAUUGGGACUGAGAUACGGCCCAGACUCCUACGGGAGGCAGCAGUGGGGAAUAUUGCACAAUGGGCGGAAGCCUGAUGCAGCAACGCCGCGUGCGGGAUGACGGCCUUCGGGUUGUAAACCGCUUUCGCCUAUGACGAAGCGUGAGUGACGGUAAUGGGUAAAGAAGCACCGGCUAACUACGUG